UACGUAGGGGGCUAGCGUUGUCCGGAUUUAUUGGGCGUAAAGAGCGUGUAGGCGGCCAGGUAGGUCUGCUGUGAAAACUCGAGGCUCAACCUCGAGACGUCGGCGGAAACCAUCUGGCUAGAGUCCGGGAGAGGAGAGUGGAAUUCCUGGUGUAGCGGUGAAAUGCGCAGAUAUCAGGAAGAACACCCGUGGCGAAAGCGGCUCUCUGGAACGGUACUGACGCUGAGACGCGAAAGCGCGGGGAGCAAACAGG
rnacentral:rRNA from 1 species